UACGGGGGGAGCAAGCGUUGUUCGGAAUUACUGGGCGUAAAGGGCUCGUAGGCGGCCAAUUAAGUCAGACGUGAAAUCCCCAGGCUUAACCUGAGAACUGCGUCUGAUACUGGAUGGCUUGAAUUCGGGAGAGGGAUGCAGAAUUCCAGGUGUAGCGGUGAAAUGCGUAGAUAUCUGGAGGAAUACCGGUGGCGGAGGCGGCAUCCUGGACCGACAUUGACGCUGAUGAGCGAAAGCUAGGGGAGCAAACGGG
rnacentral:rRNA from 1 species